rnacentral:rRNA from 1 species
AACGAACGCUGGCGGCAUGCCUAACACAUGCAAGUCGAACGAGACCUUCGGGUUUAGUGGCGCACGGGUGCGUAACGCGUGGGAACCUGCCCUUAGGUUCGGAAUAACUCCCCGAAAGGGGUGCUAAUACCGGAUAAUGUCUUUGGAGCAAAGAUUUAUCGCCUUUGGAUGGGCCCGCGUUGGAUUAGCUAGUUGGUGGGGUAAUAGCCUACCAAGGCGACGAUCCAUAGCUGGUCUGAGAGGAUGAUCAGCCACACUGGGACUGAGACACGGCCCAGCCUCCUACGGGAGGCAGCAGUGGGGAAUACUAGACAAUGGGCGAAAGCCUGAUCCAGCAAUGCCGCGUGAGUGAUGAAGGCCUUAGGGUUGUAAAGCUCUUUUACCCGGGAUGAUAAUGACGGUACCGGGAGAAUAAGCCCCGGCUAACUCCGUG